CCCCUCUGAUUUUUUCAUUACAUCCAGCUAAGGGACUUUGCCCAAAACCCGCAGAUUAAAACAAGCGCCUUAACCCCACUUACGUUUUUUGAAAGAAUGUGCAUCCAAGAACAAUUCCCGAAAGGCCUCAUCACAAAUCUAUACGCACACCUAAGUACGACCACAUCGGAAUGGGGGGAACUUCACCACACGACCCAAUGGGAAAUGGACCUGAAUGAGGAACUGGAAGGCGUUGAAUGGCAGGAGAUCUGGGAGGCCGCUGCGACCUCCUCUAUUUGUGUCACAUUUCAGGAACAAGCC